CCUACGGGUGGCAGCAGUGGGGAAUAUUGCACAAUGGGGGAAACCCUGAUGCAGCAACGCCGCGUGAGUGAAGAAGUAUUUCGGUAUGUAAAGCUCUAUCAGCAGGGAAGAAAAUGACAGUACCUGACUAAGAAGCCCCGGCUAACUACGUGCCAGCAGCCGCGGUAAUACGUAGGGGGCAAGCGUUAUCCAGAUUUACUGGGUGUAAAGGGAGCGUAGACGGCUGCGCAAGUCAGAAGUGAAAGCCCGGGGCUCAACCGCGGGACUGCUUUUGAAACUGUGUAGCUGGAGUGCAGGGGAGGUAGGAGGAAUUCCUAGUGGAGCGGUGAAAUGCGUAGAUAUUAGGAGGAACACCGGUGGCGAAGGCGGCUUACUGGACUGUAACUGACGUUGAGGCUCGAAAGCGUGGGGAGCAAACAGGAUUAGAUACCCGGGUAGUC
rnacentral:rRNA from 1 species